rnacentral:tRNA from 1 species
UCCCUGGUGGUCCAGUGGCUAAGACUAUGCACUCCCAGUGCAGGAGGUCCGGGUUCAAUCCCCAGUCAGGGAA